rnacentral:rRNA from 1 species
CCUGAACGCUGGCGGCGUGGCUAAGACAUGCAAGUCGCACGGUGUAGCAAUACACAGUGGCGAACGGGUGAGUAAUGAAUCGCUAAUGUACCCCGGACUCUGGGAUAGCUAGCCGAAAGGUUAGGUAAUACCAGAUGAUAUAACCGAACCGCAUGGUUCGGUUCUCAAAGGUCCGCCGGUCUGGGAGCAGGCGAUUUCGUAUCAGCUAGUUGGUGAGGUAACGGCNCACCAAGGCUUUGACGCGUAGCCGGACUGAGAGGUUGGCCGGCACAUUGGGACUGAGACACUGCCCAGACUCCUACGGGGGCUGCAGUAACGAAUCUUCCGCAAUGCACGCAAGUGUGACGGAGCGACGCCGCGUGUAGGAUGAAG